rnacentral:rRNA from 1 species
UACAGAGGUGCCGAGCGUUAGGCGGAAUCACUGGGCUUAAAGCGUGUGUAGGCGGAUCCGUAAGUACCUUGUGAAAUCCCACGGCUCAACCGUGGAACUGCUUGGUAUACUGCGGGUCUUGAGCUAUCUAGGGGCAACCGGAACAAACGGUGGAGCGGUGAAAUGCGUAGAUAUCAGGAGGAACACCUGUGGUGUAGACGGCUUACUGGACCAUGACUGACGCUGAGGUACGAAAGCGUGGGGAGCAAACAGG